UCCUCGGUAGUAUAGUGGUAAGUAUCCCUGCCUGUCACGCGGGAGACCAGGGUUCGAUUCUGUGCUGGGGAU
rnacentral:tRNA from 1 species